UACGUAGGUGGCGAGCGUUGUCCGGAAUUACUGGGUGUAAAGGGCGUGUAGGCGGGGGCUCAAGUCGGAUGUGAAAUACCGUGGCUCAACAACGGGGCUGCAUCCGAAACUGUGCCUCUUGAGUACCGGAGAGGAAAGUGGAAUUCCCAGUGUAGCGGUGAAAUGCGUAGAUAUUGGGAGGAACACCAGUGGCGAAGGCGACUUUCUGGACGGUAACUGACGCUGAGGCGAGAAGGCGUGGGGAGCAAACAGG
rnacentral:rRNA from 1 species